rnacentral:rRNA from 1 species
GGGCCCGCACAAGCGGUGGAGCAUGUGGUUUAAUUCGAUGAUACGCGAGGAACCUUACCAGGGCUUAAAUGUAGUGGGACAGGUCUAGAGAUAGACCCUUCUUCGGACUCAUUACAAGGUGCUGCAUGGUUGUCGUCAGCUCGUGCCGUGAGGUGUCAGGUUAAGUCCUAUAACGAGCGCAACCCCUAUCGUUAGUUGCCAGCGAGUAAUGUCGGGAACUCUAACGAAACUGCCAGUGCAAACUGUGAGGAAGGUGGGGAUGACGUCAAAUCAUCACGGCCCUUACGUCCUGGGCUACACACGUGCUACAAUGGCCGGUACAGAGAGCAGCCACUUCGCAAGAAGGAGCGAAUCCUUAAACUCUAUCUCAGUUCGGAUCGGAGUCUGCAACUCGACUCCGUGAAGCUGGAAUC